rnacentral:rRNA from 1 species
UACGAAGGGGGCUAGCGUUGUUCGGAAUUACUGGGCGUAAAGCGCACGCAGGCGGCUCGUUGAAUUAGAAGUGAAAGCCCCGGGCUCAACCUGGGAAUUGCUUUUAAGACUGGCGAGCUAGAAUUCAGAAGAGGGUAGUGGAAUUCCCAGUGUAGAGGUGAAAUUCGUAGAUAUUGGGAAGAACACCAGUGGCGAAGGCGACUGCCUGGUCUGACAUUGACGCUCAUGUGCGAAAGCGUGGGGAGCAAACAGG